AAUUGUUGGCCGUCCACCUGCUUCUCCUGUUUGCAGCUUGUGACACCAGAAAGGAUUAGGUCAAGAAGACAGCCAAUGAAAACGUGGACUAAGCAUUCAAAUUCUGAGAACUCCCUGUUGUGAGAGUUGUUGUGACAAGAAGAGGAAAUAGCACAGCAUGAAUUCUUUCUGAUUCGUGUAAAGAGCAGAGGAAAUGGAACGAGUAAUCUGUUCCCAUGAUCACCAAGAGAAACUUCAGUGAAAAGUACAAGAAAGACCAAGCUUCACCUGUGUCCAUCCCCAUAGCAAUCAGGAGGAAUUAACAAGGUAGCUUACAGACACCUGAUCUCAACAGAUGAGCUGAAAUGGCUACAGCAUCCUCCAUAUCACCCGGUCUCAACCUUGUCCAAAAGAAACCAACACUUGGGGGAGGAUGUUCAGAGGCCAAGAACUUGAAGGUUGUUUCAGGUGGGAGCCUGUCAAACAGGAAUUUUCUUGUCCUGUGGACAAAUGGUUGGCCUGCUUCAAAAAUUCCAAGUAAUUAUUAUUCUUUUCUG